UACGGAGGGGGCAAGCGUUAUUCGGAAUUAUUGGGCGUAAAGGGCGUGUAGGCGGCUUCGUAAGUCCUAUGUGAAAGCCCUCGGCUUAACCGGGGAACUGCAUAGGAAACUGCGGAGCUUGAGUUCGGGAGAGGAGAGUGGAAUUCCCAGUGUAGCGGUGAAAUGCGUAGAUAUUGGGAGGAACACCGGUGGCGAAGGCGGCUCUCUGGACCGAUACUGACGCUGAAACGCGAAAGCUAGGGGAGCAAACGGG
rnacentral:rRNA from 1 species